GGGAAUGUGGCUUAGUGGUAGAGUGCUUGUCUAGCAUGCAUGAAAUCCUGGGUUCAAUUCCUCAGUACCA
rnacentral:tRNA from 1 species